AAAGAUGAACUCCCCAGGUCAGUAGGUGCCCAAUAUGCUACUGGAGAUCAGUGGAGAAAUAACUUCAGAGAGUUAUUAAAAUUCUUAAUAUUCUGUUUUAAAAUUGUGUAAUUUGGCACAAAUGAGUAAACAGGAUAGUUUGUGACUGAAUUUUUGUAUUUACUCAUCAGUCACUUCUAUAAAAUGAUCCUCAUGCAGAUUGUCAUAUCCUCUUAUUCAUCAUCUCCAGAUGUUUUCCUUUGUUUGGUUUCUAAUGGUUAUUCUGAAAUUGCUAUUACAAUUGACCUCUUUCAGCUGAUUUUCAGAUCAGCGAUUUUAAAAAAGUCUAGGCAAGUUGCAAGUGUCCCAAACUGAGAUGAUCUGUUAUUUCCAAAUGUGUUAUUUGUAAAUGUGGUUUUUUCUUCUUUUCCUAAACUUUUCUCAAGGGGUUACAUUGUUCCAGAUCAUUCUAGCACUUGGAAUAGAGUUGAGUUACACACUUAACAUUCUUCUUUAAUUAUGAAGUUGAAAUAAACAGCAGUAGAUGCCAGAUCCAGUUGUUGAUGGGGACAAAAGUGCAUGGGCCAAUGGGAAAAGGAGUGUUGAUCUUUUUGAAAUAAAAAUGAUGAAUAGUUCACGUUAUCAGCCUUUGAAGGAAGGACAAGGGGGAAAGCAUUUCCAUUUUGGCAGUUUCUUUGUUUACAAAAAAGGGAAGGUAGGAGAGGCUUGGGUUCCCACAAGCCCUCACAGUGUUUUGCAACUUCUUUGAAAGGCCACUAGGGAACCAAGGCCUCUGCUUCCCACUGACAAUUGAUGAGGAGAUGGCACCCUCAUGCCACAAGAAGACCCCAGAGCUGGCUCUGGGCUCCCUCUGUGGUGCUCCUUGGAAGAAGCACAUGGGUGGCUAGGCACCAGAGAAACCUCAGUGGUCAUCAGACUGACCUUCUUCAACCAUCAAUCUUACCACGUCUCUUCUCCAGGACUCUGGAGAGUCCCCACACUCCACAGAGAGAAAAGGUCUCAAGAGAACUCAGCAAGAGGACAGCCAUCUGCAAGAAAAGAAGCUGCGGGAGAAACCAACCCUCUCAGUACCCUGGUCUCAGACUUCCAGCUCUGUGACCCACGAGAAGACCAACGUCUGUUGUUUAAGCCCCUCAGCCUGUGGUGCUCUGUGAUGGCAGCUAGCACAAAACCGUCUGCCUCUCACAUCCAUGGUGGCCCUUCCUGACCAUCAUUCCAAAUAAUUAAUAGAGCAUUUGAUCUUCCAUAAGUACUUCUUCCCCAAGGUUUCCCAGGUGGCACUAGUGGUAAAGAAUCCACCUGCCAAUGCAGGAAAUAUAAGAGACCAGGUUCAACCCCUGGAUUGGGAAGAUCCCCUGGAGGAGAGCAUGGCAACCCACUCCAGUACUCUUGCCUGGAAAAUCCCAAGGAGAGAGGAGCCUCAUGGGCUACAGUCCCUGGGGUCACAAAAAGUUACACAAGUAAGCAACUGAGCACUAGAACUAAUCACCUCCUCCCUAGUGACAGAAUAUACUUGCUAUCUUUCUUAUAAGUGCCAUCAAGCAAGAAAAUAAGAUCUUCCUUUCCCCAGUAAGAAAUGAGCUUCCCUUAAGCCCUGACAUCUUAGCUCAGUGCCACAUAAGAACAGAAGUGGAUUAAAUGGAACGAAUGGGUUAGAGGAAACCAGGUUGGUGUGAGGAUUCAAUAACCAUAAUGAUGUGAAAAAGCACACAGUUGGUCAUAGAGUGGGUGCUCCAUGAAUGUAAAUGCUACCCCUUGAAGAACACACAAGCCACCAUGCCCACUGAGAGGACCUCUAUAGAGGGAGGACACAUUUCUCACUUUGUCCAUUUGGUCAACAGAUACUAACAAAAACCCAGUGUGCGCCAGCCUUGUGCAAACUGGAGGGAAACCAGUAAGAAGCAAAACCAACUCCACCCUCAGGAGUUUACUCUCUUCUGGAGAAAACAGAUGACAAACAAGGAGUAUAAUCGAGGUCUUAGUGACUGAUAAGCACUAGACAGGGAAAUGAGGUGGAGUUGGGGUUGGGGUGAUACGGGUGCUAGAUUAGUAACAUUUAUUCCAACAUUUGCCUGACACCCACUAUGUACCAGGGAUCAUACCGGGUGUUGGGAAAAUAAAGAUGAGCAAACAGCUUCUCUCAGAGGAAUGGCCGUGGAGGGUGGGGGAACCCCUGCCUGCCUUCCUCAGCGGCUCCAGAAGCUCUGGGGGUAACCACCAGGGGCUGUCUGAGACUCCUGUUGGUACUCACAGACCUUGGGUACACUGGCUGCACUGUUGUGUCUGGCUUUUUAUUUUCCUUUCCCUUUCUUCCUCCACAAUUAAAUCUUGUUAUUCGAGUGGCCUCAGACCUCUGUUCUCACUGACAAUAUUCAAGAUUAGGACUACAGAAACUAGGGAAGAACUGUCAAUUUCCCCAUGAGAUUUUACAAGUCUAAAAUAAAGAAUUCUCUAUAA